AACGAACGCUGGCGGCAUGCCUAACACAUGCAAGUCGAACGAGACCUUCGGGCCUAGUGGCGCACGGGUGCGUAACGCGUGGGAACAUGCCCUUAGGUUCGGAAUAACUCCCCGAAAGGGGUGCUAAUACCGGAUAAUGUCUUCGGACCAAAGAUUUAUCGCCUUUGGAUGGGCCCGCGUUGGAUUAGCUAGUUGGUAGGGUAAAAGCCUACCAAGGCGACGAUCCAUAGCUGGUCUGAGAGGAGGAUCAGCCACACUGGGACUGAGACACGGCCCAGACUCCUACGGGAGGCAGCAGUGGGGAAUAUUGGACAAUGGGCGAAAGCCUGAUCCAGCAAUGCCGCGUGAGUGAUGAAGGCCUUAGGGUUGUAAAGCUCGUUUACCCGGGAUGAUAAUGACAGUACCGGGAGAAUAAGCUCCGGCUAACUCCGUG
rnacentral:rRNA from 1 species